rnacentral:rRNA from 1 species
GACGAACGCUGGCGGCGUGCUUAACACAUGCAAGUCGAACGGGAUAAUUUGAGAGCUUGCUCUUAGAGAAUCUAGUGGCAAACGGGUGAGUAACACGUAGACAACCUGCCGACAGGAUGGGGACAACAUUCCGAAAGGAUUGCUAAUACCGAAUGAAGUCGAGGGAGGGCAUCCUCCUUCGAUGAAAGAUGGCCCCUAUUUAUAAGCUAUCACCUGUCGAUGGGUCUGCGUCUGAUUAGCUGGUUGGUGAGGUAACGGCUCACCAAGGCGACGAUCAGUAGCCGGUCUGAGAGGAUGAACGGCCACAUUGGGACUGAGACACGGCCCAGACUCCUACGGGAGGCAGCAGUGGGGAAUCUUCCGCAAUGGGCGCAAGCCUGACGGGGCAACGCCGCGUGAGUGAAGAAGGUCUUCGGAUCGUAAAGCUCUGUUGACGGGGACGAACGUGCGAGAGGUGAAUAAUCUCUUGUAAGG